ACCACCCUGAUAGCAGACUACUCCGAUCCGGAUCCGUUUUACCUCCGGCAGAUCCGCGCUACAGUCAGGUCUGUUUAGUGGAUCUGGUCCGGCUUCACUCCGGGUUCGGGUUAUGAUUGUGACUCACGUUCAGAUCCGUUUUACUGACGGUAAAUCCGCAUAACAGCCCGUCUCAUUUCACGCCUUCCAUAUGACUUCGGCACGGAGUCAGAUACCAGAUGUGAGUUCAGUGUCAGUUCAGUGUCGUUUUGCGGAUCCGGGCCGCAUCGGCGGAGCGGCACAGGAGCGGGAGAAAUUCAAACUCAGCGCGAGGACCAACUGACAUCUGCUGAAUCUGCGCUUCAGGGCUGCUGAGGGCUGGGGACCUGAGAUAAGCAGGAUUUGGUAUCCGCAAAAUGGUUCGAGGUCCUCAGCCCUCGCCUCCCCCAGCACAGAGGAAAACUACCAAGGGCGGUACUCUCAUUAUAGGAGAUUCAAUUGUUAGACAUUUAAAAGUAUCUAAGAGUAAUGGCACAAUUUCAUGUCUUCCAGAUGCUUGCAUGCUGGUAGUCGGCAAGCGGCUCCCUGGGGCGCAUUGCCAAAGCAGGAACCCCGGCACCAUCGCCCUCCACGUGGGGAUGAGCUUUCGGGAGCGACCGGCCCCGUUCCACAGAGAC